UGGGGAAUCUUGGACAAUGGGGGCAACCCUGAUCCAGCCAUGCCGCGUGAGUGAUGAAGGCCUUAGGGUCGUAAAGCUCUUUCGCCUGUGAAGAUAAUGACGGUAGCAGGUAAAGAAACCCCGGCUAACUCCGUGCCAGCAGCCGCGGUAAUACGGAGGGGGUUAGCGUUGUUCGGAAUUACUGGGCGUAAAGCGCACGUAGGCGGACCAGAAAGUUGGGGGUGAAAUCCCGGGGGCUCAACCCCGGAACUGCCUCCAAAACUAUUGGUCUAGAGUUCGAGAGAGGUGAGUGGAAUUCCAAGUGUAGAGGUGAAAUUCGUAGAUAUUUGGAGGAACACCAGUGGCGAAGGCGGCUCACUGGCUCGAUACUGACGCUGAGGUGCGAAAGUGUGGGGAGCAAACAGGAUUAGAUACCCCUGGUAGUCCACACCGUAAAACGAUGAAUGCCAGUCGUCGGGUAGCAUGCUAUUCGGUGACACACCUAACGGAUUAAGCAUUCCGCCUGGGAGUACGGUCGCAAGAUUAAAACUCAAAUGAAUUG
rnacentral:rRNA from 1 species